rnacentral:rRNA from 1 species
UACGUAGGGUGCAAACGUUGCUCGGAAUCAUUGGGCGUAAAGAGCUCGUAGGCGGUUCGGUAAGUCGGGUGUGAAAUCUCCGUGCUCAACACGGAGCGGCCACCUGAUACUGCCGUGACUCGAGUCCGGUAGGGGAGUGUGGAAUUCCCGGUGUAGCGGUGAAAUGCGCAGAUAUCGGGAGGAGCACCAGUAGCGAAGGCGGCACUCUGGGCCGUGACUGACGCUGAGGAGCGAAAGCGUGGGUAGCAAACAGG